rnacentral:lncRNA from 15 species
AAAUUAAUUUUGACACAGCAAUGUUAAUGUGUACGCCCACAGGAGGCUCCAGCAUGUCAUGUGAUCUACAAUCCCGACCCCGACCACAAGUCCAGAACUGUUCACCUGGUCCACCUGCGGUCCUGACGAACCCAGUGAGCCAAUCAGAGGACCAGAAGGUUCCCAGGGAGCAGAUAUCUGGAAAUAGCUGUGGGAUGUUUCAGUGUAAUGACGCUAUAGUGUGUCCAGUCAUGGCGGUUGCGGUUCAGUUCGUCACAGCUUCAGACUCUGAUAAGAAGCCAGGCCGACGGCAGCUGCGGGGAUGAUCCACUCAUAUGUGCUCACAUAUCCAACCUCUGAGUGUUUCCUGCUAUAUGUACACACAGCUGGGAGCUUCCACUGGGCCACCUCCUCGAGGAGGACCGCUGUGGGCCUACUGGGUGCUCAGGGAGAGCUGGCAGAGAACGUCUUUAUCUGAACAUGUGGGAGUGAUCUCAGUUCGUGUUUAGCCAGAUGUUUUACUGCAGCUGUUUCGUCUAAGUAUUACAUUCACACAAGGUCCUACUUUAAGGCUCUGAUGUAUUUCACAACAAUGGUUGAUCUUUAACCCUCAGUCAGUGUUACUUCAUGGUGGUGCUCAUUGAAACGUCAAAAUACAUAAAUAAAUGAAUAAAUACAUCAAAUAUAAUAGUUUUACAUUUAAUUUAUACAUGUAAUAUACAUAUAUUACAUAUAUAAUGUUAAAAUAUAUAUAACAUAAGAUGUGACAGCAGGUAAAAGAUGAAAAGUAAUAAAUAAAUACUAAUAAGUAUAAUAAUAAGUAAGUUACGGUGUAUUUGUACUUUACCUCCCACCUCAGUUCGUGGUUUUUAAUCCCAGAGGUGAUUUUGGUUUUAUGAGUAAAUCUCAGGAGACGUUCAAGACCUAUAAACUGUCCUCUGCGGUUUCAGCGCCGCCGCGGUUGCUAAUAAGUUUCUCUCGUUAACCUCGGCUGUGUGAUGGUUCUUACACUGUGGCCACUGAACAACAGGGAAACACAACAGCUGAGUUCAAAUCUAUUUAAUUUUGUGUUCAUUUAAAUGUUUCACCAGUGAGAGUUAAUAUAUUCACUGUUUAAUAAGUUUCUACGGGAGCCCAGAAGGGACAAACCAAGCCCCGGCUCCAGGUCAGGGCGCUUCACGGCGCUCUUGGAAUGGGAGGGCGAUGCGAGGGCGUUGCCAUCUGUAACUACACCGCUAGAUGUAGAAAUCAACUGCAACGUCUGUUCUCAUUGGCCAAAAUAAACAUAUAGACUCCACACACACACACACACACACACACACACACACACACACACACAUUGUCCACAGCUCAAACAUCUGCUUUGAAGCAUAUUUGAUAGAGAAUGUGAAAGAAGUCAAGGUCAACAAGCAGAGAUAGACCUUUUGUUCAACCAGACUCAUUUUAACUCUCAGAUCAUCGUAACGUCAUUCAAAGUCGGCAGAAACAACAUAAAACUCAUCAAAACCGUCUUUGUUUCUGCCACUGACAGACUCAGGUUGUUAUUGUCAGUGUCUGACAGCAUUAUGGAAAGGAUCCCUACAGAGAUAGACCUUUAGUUUAACCACAAACAGCCGUAAUAUCACUAUCACUCUCCACCAGACUCCAGAGACACAAACACUCAUUUUACCUUCAGAUCAUCAGAACUUCAUUAAAGUGGACAGAAACAGAAUAAAACUCAUUAAAAGCGUCUCUGUUAGUGUUUCCAACAAUCACCAACUCUGGUUUGGUGGAAAUAAAUCCUUAAUUCACCGACGUAGAUGAUAAAAACAGCAGUUUCAGUCGGAGCAGACCGGCUGUGGAAACAAACCACAGAGAGGCUGCGAUACAACACAGGCAGAGGGAGAGAGACACCAUGUGACUCUGUAUAUAGAGAAUAUAAUGUUAGCUGAUUUAUUAAUACUCUAAAUGUAACUUAUCGUAUCGCCAGUCAUUUUGCUACGUUAGCUAGCUAGCAAUUGAUCCGUGUUAGCAACCAAGCUAACGUUAUCCAGCUAAAAGCACAAUCAGACAAUAUGUUCCACUAGCUUAGCAUUAAUGUUAGCUUUGACUUUGGACUCUGUGUUGUGGUGGGUGUUUAUAGACGUUAGCGGACUCCAUUUAUAAGUUAACGUUAGCUAAUGUAUAAAUCUGUCCACAGGAAACAGAAAGUCGGUGGAAUGUCCGAUUUGUUAAUUUACAGCCUGUUGAUCUCAUUGGCAAUAAAAAAGUGAUUAAUGCAUAAAAAGACUCUUAUUUAUGGCACAUUAAAAUCUCAUAAGUCCCUGCAGUGGAAACAUGGAGCUGUGAGGGUUUGUAUCUGGACAGUGUUACAGUCUUUUAUCUACAACCUACCUCAGACCAGCUUCCUCUGUCGGGUCCAAAGGAAAAGGCGGGGGCUCCAGCAAAGGGUGCGGCUUCAAUCGACUGCCUGGUCCACCUACAGUACGCCGGGCUCAGGCUGUAAGUCAGGAGAUUUCUCAGCUGAUAUUGAUAAAAGCUAAAUGUAGCAUUAAAACACAUUAAAGUGGUUUCACACCCAACCUGUUGGUUCAUUCAGGCCGACGUAUCUGCUGCUGACUGACCACAGCAGGGUAGCAGAAACAGUGAGCUGGUAGUCAGUGCUAACAGAGCUAAUAGUGCUAAUGAGCAGCGGCUGUCAGACUCUGUGUCCACGCUGGCGAUUUUGUCUCAUCAGGUUCAAAAACAGCUUCUUUCCACAUGCCAUAAGACUGCUGAACACUGUAUAACCAUUCCCCCUUCUCUCCCCCUCCUCACCCAUACACCUACAAUUAUCUUAUUAAUAUUUAUAUUAUAUACAAAAGUUCUUUUACAUAGGCAACUAAAAUUGUGCAAUAUAUAUUAUCUACGGGUUUCUCUUCUCUUCUCAACUUAUUAAAACGUUUUAUAUUAUUUUAUUUUUUUUUGACUGUACAUACUGCCUCUCCUCUAUUCCUGUUGUGCUAUGUGCCAUUGUAAUGAAAUUUCAUUUUGAUGCAAAUCUAAAUGACAAAUAAAGUCUGUCUAAGUCUAAGAUAGGGUUGGGGUUAGGGGUGUUGUGCUAAGCUUGCAGCUGUUUUGUAGCUAAGGUAUGUGUGUGUGUCAGUGUGGGAUCAAGGUAAAGAUUGCAGUCCGGU